CCUACGGGAGGCAGCAGUGGGGAAUAUUGGACAAUGGGCGAAAGCCUGAUCCAGCCAUGCCGCGUGUGUGAAGAAGGCCUUCGGGUUGUAAAGCACUUUCAGUGGGGAAGAAAGCCUUGGGGCUAAUACCCUCGAGGAAGGACAUCACCGACAGAAGAAGCACCGGCUAACUACGUGCCAGCAGCCGCGGUAAUACGGAGGGUGCGAGCGUUAAUCGGAAUUACUGGGCGUAAAGCGCGCGUAGGCGGUCUGAUAAGCCGGUUGUGAAAGCCCCGGGCUCAACCUGGGAACGGCAUCCGGAACUGUCAGGCUAGAGUGCAGGAGAGGAAGGUAGAAUUCCCGGUGUAGCAGUGAAAUGCGUAGAGAUCGGGAGGAAUACCAGUGGCGAAGGCGGCCUUCUGGACUGACACUGACGCUGAGGUGCGAAAGCGUGGGUAGCAAACAGGAUUAGAUACCCCGGUAGUC
rnacentral:rRNA from 1 species